rnacentral:rRNA from 1 species
GACGAACGCUGGCGGCGUGCCUAAUACAUGCAAGUUGAGCGCUGAAGGUUGGUACUUGUACCAACUGGAUGAGCAGCGAACGGGUGAGUAACGCGUGGGGAAUCUGCCUUUGAGCGGGGGACAACAUUUGGAAACGAAUGCUAAUACCGCAUAAAAACUUUAAACACAAGUUUUAAGUUUGAAAGAUGCAAUUGCAUCACUCAAAGAUGAUCCCGCGUUGUAUUAGCUAGUUGGUGAGGUAAAGGCUCACCAAGGCGAUGAUACAUAGCCGACCUGAGAGGGUGAUCGGCCACAGUGGGACGGAGACACGGCCCAAACUCCUACGGGAGGCAGCAGUAGGGAAUCUUCGGCAAUGGACGAAAGUCUGACCGAGCAACGCCGCGUGAGGGAAGAAGGUUGUCGGAUCGUAAAACUCUGUUGGUAGAGAAGAACGUUGGUGAGAGUGGAAAGCUCAUCAAGUGACGGUAACUACCCAGAAAGGGACGGCUAACUACGUG